AACGAACGCUGGCGGCAUGCCUAACACAUGCAAGUCGAACGAGACCUUCGGGUCUAGUGGCGCACGGGUGCGUAACGCGUGGGAAUCUGCCCUUGGGUUCGGAAUAACAGUUAGAAAUGACUGCUAAUACCGGAUAAUGUCUUCGGACCAAAGAUUUAUCGCCCAGGGAUGAGCCCGCGUAGGAUUAGCUAGUUGGUGAGGUAAAGGCUCACCAAGGCGACGAUCCUUAGCUGGUCUGAGAGGAUGAUCAGCCACACUGGGACUGAGACACGGCCCAGACUCCUACGGGAGGCAGCAGUGGGGAAUAUUGCGCAAUGGGCGAAAGCCUGACGCAGCGACGCCGCGUGGGUGAUGAAGGCC
rnacentral:rRNA from 1 species